GCGCACAAUCCAAAAACCUUUACACUUUGGUUUUCCGGGUUCACCAAAAACCUAUGUUGGUUUUACGGGCUCACCAACGAACCUAUGUUGGUUUUACGGGCUCACUAACGAACCUUUACAAUUGGUUUUCCGGGUUCACCAAUCAACCUAUUCCGUUAGUUUUGCGGGCUAACCAACCAAUCUUUACAAGUAGUUUAAUAAACAAAGUAAGAAGAUUUAAGCUCCUAGAUGAGCAAAUAUAACAAUAUAAUCUACAAAGAAGAGUUUAGAGAAUAGUUAUCGCUUGAUGUGACUUCUCUCUUCU
rnacentral:lncRNA from 1 species